rnacentral:rRNA from 1 species
UAAGGAAUAUUGCUCAAUGGGAGAAAUCCUGAAGCAGCAACGCCGCGUGGAGGAUGAAGGGUCUAUGACUUGUAAACUCCUGUAAAGAAGGAAAAAAUUCCCAUUAGAUGGGAGAUGAUGGUACUUCUGGAGUAAGCCCCGGCUAACUACGUGCCAGCAGCCGCGAUAAUACGUAGGGGGCAAGCGUUGUCCGGAUUUACUGGGUGUAAAGGGUGCUCAGGCGGAUUUGUAAGUCAGAGGUGAAAUCUUACAGCUUAACUGUGAAACUGCCUUUGAUACUGCAAGCCUAGAGUAUGGAAGAGAGUGAUGGAAUAUCUGGUGUAGCAGUGAAAUGCGUAGAUAUCAGAUAGAACACCAAUGGCGAAGGCAGUCACUUGGUCCAUUACUGACGCUAAAGCACGAAAGCGUGGGUAGCAAACA